rnacentral:rRNA from 1 species
UUGAACGCUGGCGGCGGCCUAACACAUGCAAGUCGAACGGAGUGGCGAACGGGUGAGUAACGCGUGAGCAACCUGCCUAUGACAGUGGGAUAGCCUCGGGAAACCGGGAUUAAUACCGCAUAGUCAUAGAUGGGCUCGCGUCUGAUUAGCUAAUUUGUGAGAUAACAGCACACAAAGGCGACGAUCAGUAGCCGGUCUGAGAGGAUGAACGGCCACAUUGGAACUGAGACACGAGCCAAACUCCUACGGGAGGAAGCAGUGGGGAAUAUUGCACAAUGGGGGAAGACCUGAUGCCGCGACGCCGCGUGAACGAAGAAGGUAUUCGUAUCGUAAAGUUCUGUCCUAUGGGAAGCAGUACCAUAGAAGAAAGCUCCGGCUAAAUACGAGCCAGCAGCCGCGGUAAUAC